GAACGCUGGCGGCGUGCCUAAACAUGCAAGUGGAGCGACGAACCAGGCUUCGGCCUGGGGCAAAGCCGCGAACGGGUGAGUAACACGUGGGUAACCUGCCCCGAUGAUUGGGACAACCCGAGGAAACUCGGGCUAAUACCGAAUGUGCCCUCCAGCCAUAAGGCUGCUGGGGAAAGGAAGCUUCGGCCUCCGCAUCGGGAUGGGCCCGCGGCCCAUUAGCUUGUUGGUGAGGUAAUGGCUCACCAAGGCGACGAUGGGUAGCUGGUCUGAGAGGACGAUCAGCCACACUGGGACUGAGACACGGCCCAGACUCCUACGGGAGGCAGCAGUGGGGAAUCUUGCGCAAUGCGCGAAAGCGUGACGCAGCAACGCCGCGUGGGCGAAGAAGGCCUUCGGGUUGUAAAGCCCUUUCAGUUGGGACGAAGCUUCGCCGGUGAACAGCCGGCCGGAGUGACGGUACCUUCAGAAGAAGCCCCGGCUAACUACGUGCCAGCAGCCGCGGUAAUACGUANGGGGCAAGCGUUGUCCGGAAUCAUUGGGCGU
rnacentral:rRNA from 1 species